GUAAACAUUACUAACACUACUAAACCACCUUCCUAUGUAUGUGUGAAACUCCAAGUCGAACACUCGCAUCUUCUUUUACUUUGUUUGAAUAGCAAACAUUCUUCUUUCAUUCUUUUUGACAGAUCAUUUUUUUGCUCGCGAAGGUUUGUUUUUUUCGGGUUGUCAAGUGAAUCGUGGUUUUCCUCAUGAAUUAAAAUAUCAACAAAAAGUUUUUCCGGAUUCCUAAACGAUUGAUGAAGAUCCCAUUUGUGUCGUUUCGUGACAGUGCAAAAUUUGAAUUGAUUUGAUUAUAUUGCUGGCCUCUAAGGAUGGAUUAUGUGUGCUUGUUUACAAUCCGGUUCUGCUGGUGAAGUUUGAGACCUCUAGGAAAUCGUCAUGCCGCACCUAUCGGCCCUGUCGGAUUUCGCGAGUAGGCUCGUACUCUCAAAGCGCCCGAAAUCCUCUCGCUGUUUGACGAAAUUCGCUACUACACCCUCUACCCUAGGCGUUCACCACGAAAGGCGUCGGUCUAACGUGCAGUUUGCGAUCUUGCACACCACCAACGACUUGACCAGUCCGAGAUAAGCCGGAUGCAUCUCCC